UACGUAGGGUGCGAGCGUUAACCGGAAUUACUGGGCGUAAAGCGUGCGCAGGCGGCCGUGCAAGUCGAGUGUGAAAGCCCCGAGCUUAACUUGGGAAUUGCGCUCGAAACUACGUGGCUGGAGUGUGGCAGAGGAAGGUGGAAUUCCAGGUGUAGCGGUGAAAUGCGUAGAGAUCUGGAGGAACACCGAUGGCGAAGGCAGCCUUCUGGGCCAUCACUGACGCUCAUGCACGAAAGCCAGGGGAGCAAACGGG
rnacentral:rRNA from 1 species